AGAGUUUGAUCCUGGCUCAGGAUGAACGCUAGCGGCAGGCUUAAUACAUGCAAGUCGAGGGGCAGCAUGAGUAGCAAUACUUGAUGGCGACCGGCAAACGGGUGCGGAACACGUACGCAACCUUCCUUUAAGUGGAGAAUAGCUCCCGGAAACGGGAAUUAAUACUCCGUAAUAUUAUGAAGUGGCAUCACUUUAUAAUUAUAGAUUUAUCGCUUAAAGAUGGGCGUGCGCCUGAUUAGGUAGUUGGCGGGGUAACGGCCCACCAAGCCUUCGAUCAGUAACUGGUGUGAGAGCACGACCAGUCACACGGGCACUGAGACACGGGCCCGACUCCUACGGGAGGCAGCAGUAAGGAAUAUUGGUCAAUGGACGCAAGUCUGAACCAGCCAUGCCGCGUGGAGGAUGAAGGUCCUCUGGAUUGUAAACUUCUUUUAUUUGGGAAGAAAUGCAUUUUUUCUAAAGUGCUUGACGGUACCAGAUGAAUAAGCACCGGCUAACUCCGUGCCAGCAGCCGCGGUGAUACGGAGGGUGCAAGCGUUAUCCGGAUUUACUGGGUUUAAAGGGUGCGCAGGCGGAUAUGUAAGUCAGUGGUGAAAUCUUUGGGCUUAACCCGAAAAUUGCCAUUGAUACUAUAUAUCUUGAAUGCUGUGGAGGUAAGCGGAAUAUGUCAUGUAGCGGUGAAAUGCUUAGAUAUGACAUAGAACACCUAUUGCGAAGGCAGCUUACUACGCAGAGAUUGACGCUCAUGCACGAAAGCGUGGGGAUCAAACAGGAUUAGAUACCCUAGUAGUCC
rnacentral:rRNA from 1 species